rnacentral:rRNA from 1 species
CAGAGACUGCAAGCGUUAUUCGGAUUCACUGGGCGUAAAGGGUGCGCAGGCGGCCAAGUGUGUUAGGCGUGAAAGCCCGGGGCUUAACUCCGGAAUUGCACCUAAAACUACAUGGCUAGAGCAUUGGAGAGGGUAGCGGAAUUCACGGUGUAGCAGUGAAAUGCGUAGAUAUCGUGAGGAACACCAGAGGCGAAGGCGGCUACCUGGACAAUUGCUGACGCUCAGGCACGAAAGCGUGGGGAGCAAAAGGGAUUAGAUACCCCUGUAGUCCACGCCCUAAACGGUGCACACUAGGUCUUGGCGGAUUCGACCCCACCAGGGCCCAAGCUAACGCGUUAAGUGUGCCGCCUGAGGACUACGGUCGCAAGACUA